AUUGAACGCUAGCGGCAUGCCUUACACAUGCAAGUCGAACGGUAACGGGCCUUCGGGUGCCGACGAGUGGCGAACGGGUGAGUAAUGUAUCGGAACGUACCUUUCAGUGGGGGAUAACGUAGCGAAAGUUACGCUAAUACCGCAUAUUCUGUGAGCAGGAAAGCAGGGGAUCGCAAGACCUUGCGCUGAUUGAGCGGCCGAUAUCAGGUUAGCUAGUUGGUGAGGUAAAGGCUCACCAAGGCGACGAUCUGUAUCGGGUCUGAGAGGAUGAUCCGCCACACUGGAACUGGGACACGGUCCAGACUCCUACGGGAGGCAGCAGUGGGGAAUUUUGGACAAUGGGGGCAACCCUGAUCCAGCCAUGCCGCGUGAGUGAAGAAGGCCUUCGGGUUGUAAAGCUCUUUCGGCCGGGAAGAAAUCGUAUGGGUUAAUACCCUGUGCGGAUGACGGUACCGGCAUAAGAAGCACCGGCUAACUACGUGCCAGCAGCCGCCGCCGUAA
rnacentral:rRNA from 1 species